rnacentral:rRNA from 1 species
UACAGAGGGUGCAAGCGUUGUUCGGAAUUACUGGGCGUAAAGCGCGUGUAGGUGGCGAUGUAAGUCGGGUGUGAAAGCCCUUGGCUUAACCAAGGAAGUGCACUCGAUACUGCGUCGCUUGAGUAUCGGAGGGGGUGGCGGAAUUUCCGGUGUAGCGGUGAAAUGCGUAGAUAUCGGAAGGAACACCUGUGGCGAAGGCGGGUCUCUGGGCCGAUACUGACGCUGAGGAGCGAAAGCGUGGGGAGCGAACAGG